UACGUAGGUGGCAAGCGUUAUCCGGAUUUACUGGGUGUAAAGGGCGUGUAGGCGGGAUUGCAAGUCAGAUGUGAAAACCACGGGCUCAACCUGUGGCCUGCAUUUGAAACUGCAGUUCUUGAGUACUGGAGAGGCAGACGGAAUUCCUAGUGUAGCGGUGAAAUGCGUAGAUAUUAGGAGGAACACCAGUGGCGAAGGCGGUCUGCUGGACAGCAACUGACGCUGAGGCGCGAAAGCGUGGGGAGCAAACAGG
rnacentral:rRNA from 2 species